GACGAACGCUGGCGGCGUGCUUAACACAUGCAAGUCGAACGGAAAGGCCCUGCGCUUGCGGGUUUCUCGAGUGGCGAACGGGUGAGUAACACGUGAGUAACCUGCCCUUGACUUUGGGAUAACUCCAGGAAACAGGGGCUCAUACCGGAUAGGAGCUCCUGCUGCAUAGUGGGGGUUGGAAAGUUUCGGCGGUUGGGGAUGGACUCGCGGCUUACCAGCUUGUUGGUGGGGUAGUGGCUUACCAAGGCUUUGACGGGUAGCCGGCCUGAGAGGGUGAACGGGCACCUUGGGCCUGAGAGACGCCGCAGACUGCAACGGGCGGCAGUAGGGGAGAGUAUUGCGGAGUGGGCGGAAGCCUGAUACAGCGGCGCCGGGUGCGUGAUGACGUCCUACUGGUUGUAAACCGCUUUCGCCUGUGACGAAGCGGGAGUGACGGUAAUGGGUAAAGAAGCACCGGCUAACUACGUG
rnacentral:rRNA from 1 species